GGGCGGAGCGAGGGGGACGCGGAGAGGCAGGCGCGGAGCGGGAAGGGCUUGUGGGGGGAUUGUGAGCGAGCCCCGAAAGCGUCGUGAGGGGCCGUGGAGAGGCGGGGGAAGCGGAGGAGCUGGUACAACCCGUUCGGUUUAUAUUCCAUUUGUGAUGUAUCACAACCGCCCUUUGGAAGAGAGGAACCGCCGUGGCAGGGGUCAGAAUUAAAUGACCUUUAACGUCGUUUCCAACCCAAACCAUUGUGUGAUUCGGUGAUUCUGUGAUAGCAAGGUUUGUUUGUGGAUCAGCAUUUGCUUCCUGCAGGUUAUGCUGGAGAAAAAUAAAGCUGAAUUGCAUCAA